CCUACGGGAGGCAGCAGUAGGGAAUAUUGGACAAUGGGCGAAAGCCUGAUCCAGCAAUGCCACGUGAGUGAUGUUGGCCUUAGCCUUGUUAGGCUCCCUUACCCGAGAUGAUAAUGACAGUAUCGGGAGAAUAAGCUCCGGCUAACUCCGUGCCAGCAGCCGCGGUAAUAAUCACUA
rnacentral:rRNA from 1 species